UCACACAAAAUUAAAGUAUUUCAAAGUAUAUCUUAAUUAGAAAAAUGGCUAGCAAAAUAACUUUCUGUGCUCUACUCUUUUGCUUUUUCCUCAUGUUUGCUUCUGAUAUUGAAGGUGUGAAGGAUGGAAUUUGCAAGCAAUUUAGUUCAACAUUUAGUGGUCAAUGCUAUGUGUCAUCUCAUUGUGAGGAAACAUGCAUUAAAGAAGGAAGUUCAACAGGAGAGUGUGAGUGGAAAGGAAUACAUUGGGGAUUUGUUUGUAUGUGUGAAUAUUUAUGUUGAGUGAAAUUGAAAUCAUCAUCAAAAUGCAUACAUAUAAGAAAAUAUAAAAGCUUAGUCUUGUUAUUAUGUAAUAUAUAAAAUAUAAAAUAUAAUAAGAUGAGAGAGUUUUAAUUGAGAUGAAAAAAUAAUGUUCUAAUUGAGUGCAAAAUAAGAAAGGAAGUGUUGUGUAAUUGAAUAAAGUGUUCUUGAUGUUACUUCUAUUGUAUGAUAUUGAAAAUAAAUAAUUCAAUGUAUAAGAUACAUGUUGUGGUGUGUGA